rnacentral:rRNA from 1 species
GGGUCAGUAGGUUGGUCGUGCCACCGGUACGUACUGGUCUCACUGAUUCCUCCUUCCUGAAGAACCGUAAUGCCAUUAAUUUGGUGUUGCGGGGAAACAGGACUGUUACUUUGAAAAAAUUAGAAUGUUUAAAGCAAGCUAACGCUUGAAUACAUUAGCAUGGAAUAAUGAAAUAGGACGAUCGAUCCUAUUUUGUUGGUUUCUAGGAUUGACGUA